CAGCCGCCGCGGUAAUACGAAGGGGGCUAGCGUUGCUCGGAAUUACUGGGCGUAAAGGGAGCGUAGGCGGACAUUUAAGUCAGGGGUGAAAUCCCGGGGCUCAACCUCGGAAUUGCCUUUGAUACUGGGUGUCUUGAGUAUGAGAGAGGUAUGUGGAACUCCGAGUGUAGAGGUGAAAUUCGUAGAUAUUCGGAAGAACACCAGUGGCGAAGGCGACAUACUGGCUCAUUACUGACGCUGAGGCUCGAAAGCGUGGGGAGCAAACAGGAUUAGAUACCCCGGUAGUCCCUGUCUCUUAUAC
rnacentral:rRNA from 1 species